rnacentral:SRP_RNA from 1 species
ACCGGGCGUGGUGGCGCGCGCCUGUACUCCCAGCUACUCGGGAGGCUGAGGCUGGAGGAUCGCUUGAGCCCAGGAGUAGGGCUGUAGUGCGCUAUGCCGAUUGGGUGUCCACACAAAGUUCGGCAUCAAUAUGGUGACCUCCCGGGAGCGGGGGGCCACCAGGUUGCCUAAGGAGGGGUGAACCGGCCCAGGUCGGAGACGGAGCAGGUCAAAGCUCCCGUGCUGAUCAGUAGCGGGAAACCUGGAACCCUUCACUUGCAGGCCAAUGCUCUAUCCUCUG